rnacentral:misc_RNA from 1 species
GAUGAAGAAACGUAGCGAAAUGCGAUAAGUAAUGUGAAUUGCAGAAUUCAGUGAAUCAUCGAAUCUUUGAACGCACAUUGCGCCCGCCAGUAUUCUGGCGGGCAUGCCUGUUCGAGCGUCAUUACAACCCUCAGGCCCCCGGGCCUGGCGUUGGGGAUCGGCGGAGCCCCCCGUGGGCACACGCCGUCCCCCAAAUACAGUGGCGGUCCCGCCGCAGCUUCCAUCGCGUAGUAGCUAACACCUCGCGACUGGAGAGCGGCGCGGCCACGCCGUAAAACACCCAACUUCUGAAUGUUGACCUCGAAUCAGGUAGGAAUACCCGCUGAACUUAAGCAUAUCAAUAAGCGGAGGA